rnacentral:rRNA from 1 species
UACGGAAGGCAGCAGUGGGGAAUAUUGCACAAUGGGCGAAAGCCUGAUGCAGCUAUGCCGCGUGUAUGAAGAAGGCCUUAGGGUUGUAAAGUACUUUCAUCGGGGAGGAAAACAAAACUAAUAAUUUUAUUUCUUGACGUUACCCGAAAAAGAAGCACCGGCUAACUCCGUGCCAGCAGCCGCGGUAAUACGGAGGGUGCUAGCGUUAAUCAGAAUUACUGGGCGUAAAGAGCACGUAGGUGGUUUUUUUAAGUCAGAUGUGAAAUCCCUGGGCUUAACCUAGGAACUGCAUUUUGAAACUGAAAUACUAGAGUAUCGUAGAGGGAGGUAGAAUUCUAGGUGUAGCGGUGAAAUGCGUAGAUAUCUGGAGGAAUACCUGUGGCGAAAGCGGCCUCCUAAACGAAUACUGACACUGAGGUGCGAAAGCGUGGGGAGCAAAACAGGGAUUAGAUACC